CCUCUUGGGUUCCAGGCUCAGACCUUCAAGCAGUUCCCACAGGAACCAGGAGUGCAACACAGAGGGAUGCUGAGCAAGAUGGAGACAGAAAGAAGCCCAUCUGUUCCUGCAAGGAGGAAACCAAACCCCAAAGCUCCGGGGAGAUUUGGCUGGGUACCCUGCAAGCUGCACACAGCCAGACCUGGCUCCAGCUCACACCCUGCACUCCAGACUCCAGAAACUGCGAAGGCCCUAGACAGUUGCAUUCCAGCAAGGACAAAAGAUGGUCAGAGAAAUCCACAUUUGUUCCGGAAAGCCAGAACAGUGUCCACAAGAGCCACCUCCACCUCCUGCUCCUCCCCCAGGGAGACUCUAGGAAAGAGAGCACUUUGAAAAAAAAAAAUGUCUAGACUUUGUGUUAAAGUGAAGCCAAUUUAAAGCUGUGAGCAGUGGAGGAGAAAAGGGAGGGAGGCAUGAGAACGCACCCAGAGGAGGCGCCGGUGGCAGUGCAUGCUGAAGAGCCAGCUGGUAAGGUCCAAGCUGGGUGAAAGACUGGCUCUGGAGCAGGCUGGGAACCUUGGAGGCCAGCCUGACACACCUUUCUCCCCACUGUGGAGCCAAGUAUGGGAGUCACAAUGUCCUCCCCCAUACCACAUAAUGCUCUCGCAGUCAAAGACUUUGGCUCCGGUGGCACACGGCCUCAGUUUCCCACCAGCAGUCAGAUGGUCUUGGAAGGGGCCAAGACCUCUCAGAUGCUGUCUGGUGAAGCAGGAACCAGCCUGUCUGACAGCCCUCAGUCUGGGGACCACACUGGUGUGCAGGUGCACACACAGGUGCGCAGCUGGCUCAGUGCACAGACACAAGGGCUCUGAUGUAUACACCGAGACACACAACUCCGGAGUAUGUGUGUGCGCGCAGGACAUGUGUAGUGAUGGUCAACCACAGGGACACAUGCUGGUGUGUGCAACAUUGGCAAGCAUGUCUGCGGCCUUGAAAAUGCAUCCAAUUACCACCCCCCUCUAUACCACUUAAGCAUAUGUAUGUUGCUCAUGCAUGUGUGUGUGCAUGCUUACAAAGCUUCAGCCAUACACAGAGUCCCUCCCCCUGCUCAGAUCCAAGCUAAAACAAUAUCACUUUAGGCAGGACCAGGCUGUCCAUAGCUAAGAGAAGCCCAGGUAAGGCAGGGGAUAGGAAGAGGCCGGGGGAGAGGGUAGAAAGAGGCCCUGGUUUGGAGAAGAGCUGCUGGUUCUCCCUGGAUCUGCCCUUCUCUUCCAAUCAGGCCAGGGUAGACAGAAUGCCUCAUAGCUCCCCCAAGCCCUCAAGGUGACCCUGAAGUGGCCCUGCUCCUGCUGCUCUGCUCCCCAGGAUGGUUUGAGCUGGGGCACAGUGCCUACUCUCCCUGUGACGCAUGCACGGUGGGGAGGAGGCUCCCAGCACCGUGCCCCGUAUGCGUCAGUUGCCCUGUUCUCAGCCUGGGCUGUCUGCCCACCACCCGUUGAGGCCUGGUGCAGCCAGGGAGAGGACAAGGCCACAAAGGCGCUGACAGCAGCACUUGGUCCCCUGCCCAGCUGCUCACCAGAUCAAGAUGCAGGUGUGCAGGGGGUGGGUGUGAGGGUCUCAGGGUCAAAUGUACAAGGUCAGUCUCCCCUGCUCCCAUGAGGUACUCCUCAAACAUGAACAAACCUGGGAGGAAGGAGAAACGAAGCUAUAGUGAUAGUGGGGCAUGGAGACAAUUGGGGAGCACAUCCAACAGGACCUACCACAGGGAGGAGCACAAAGAUAAAUGGGGAGCACAUCUAGCAGAGAACUGACCACAGGGAGAGAUGUGACAGGCUUGAGUAUGACAGUGUGACACAGGUACCUGCUGCCUACCUCCCAAGGCCCAAGGAGACAGAGACUGGGCUGAGCCCCCAAACACAUCUAAGAGCAUGUCAGAAGGAGGAGGGAAGCGUGAAGGCAGCUGCCCAGAGCCCGAUCAUGACAGUGCUGAGCCCCGGGGGCAGCUUAGGAGCCAUGCAGCAGCCAAGACAAGCCAGCACAGGCAGAAAACACACUCUCAGAUCUGUGCAGCGCCGGCAAAGAGCCGUCUAGCCAACUACAGGCUGUGCGAGGUCCCUUCCCAUGAAUCCUUGGACAGAAAGGAGGAAGAAGAGCCAGCAGCACCAGGGGGCACUGGUGGGGGUGGUGGGGGUGCAGGUCAGAGCUGGAGAGAGACUGCCUGAGCCACCUGGCCGUGUUCUUCUGCCUCAGGCUUGGCUUCAGUGGCCGGGUUGACCCAGCUGGGGUUGUGCCCUGGCCAUGAUUUCCCUUCAUGCACUCAGAAUCCUGGCAUCCGCAAUGUGAGGAGGUGAGCCCCAACUCAGCUGGAUUCCAAUCUUCUCAUAGGGAAGCUGGGGCCAGGACAAGAGAGGGAAUGUGGUCCAGGUCCUGCGUGGAACUAGAGCAGGUCAGACUCAGGACCCAGGGUGUCAAACCCCAGGCCUCAGUAGGAUCCUCCACUCCCCGCAGUGCAGCACUGGCCUGAGCCCUGGUUCCCACACAUGGAAGCUCAGUGGACAUACCCCACUGGGGCAACAGUGGGUUCCCACAGGACGGCAGCCCAGGCCUAGCAGUGCACUUGGAGUGUCUUCUACCGUGACACAACAGCCUGUGGUGCUUUGAAUGAGAAUGGCCCACUCUGAGACUCUUGGUGAGCCUUAGGCUCUCUCUGAGCCUCAGUUUCCCCUCUUAUGUGGCAAGAUGACUGGUGGCCAGGACUUCCAGGAACCUCUGGGACACAGCAGAACACACCUGUCCUAUAGAACGAUGUUUUUCUCAUCUAUGCUAACCCCAGGCUUCCCGCUCCCAAGGGGACACUGCUCAGCUCAACGGACGGGGAAAGGACAUGGAAACGUGGCUGGUACUCUGGCCACCCGUUAGAGAUGAAGGAAUCAGCAGGGAAACGUUGAUGGCAGCCCAGCCCUGGCACAGACUCCUCGCGGGGCCAGGCUGGCCACGCUCCCUGAUGCCAUCAUAAUGCGUCUGUGACGUUACCCCAGAUUAAACAGGACGGAUGCCUCAAGUCCAGCCAGAGCUUGCGAACCUUACAGCAACCUCACCACCUCUUUCUAGAAGCUAGCACUGGGCCCAUCGGGCCACUACCCAUCCUCCCCGCUUCUGGGGCCAAGGCUCGGGCCUUAGGGCGGGGCGCUAGGGCUUUCUGCUGCUUUCUCCUUCCAGAGGCUUCUAAGGCAAACCGUCCGGGAUCUCUCUUCCUCCUCUACGGGCAAUUGUGACAUCACCACUGAACUACUUGGCAAGUUGAUAAGUUAGCGGGAUCUCAAGCGUGACGAGCCCUGGGAGAGAGAGAAAAGUGCAGGCACUGGAAGUAAGAGGCUCUGGGGUCAAACAGAGCUGUGUGACACAGGCAAGCUCAUCCCCAUCUCUGGGCUCCAGUCUACUUGCCCAGGAGGUGCCUUUUCAGUGGCUCAGGCGUAUCUGACAUAUCCUUGAACGUCAACCCUGUGUGGCUAAUGCUUCAGCUAACAGAUGAGAAGACAAGAGAAGACUGGAGUGCCAGACUCAAGGCAGUAGAGUAUACACUGACCCUCUUGUGAGUUUCCUCCCUCAGUGUACCCCCACCUGACAGAAGGAGCUUGUCCCACCCAGCCCCUGAGGGACUGUCAAGAAAUUUCUCUGUCAAGAAAUUCUCAUUGAGACCAGGUGUGGGCCUCAACCCCAGGACCUUUGCACAUGACUCUGCCUGGCACAUACUUCCUCAGCACACCCAACUGCCUGACCUCAGUCAAGUCUCUGCUAAACUGCUCCCCACCUCACCCCUACUUUGUCACUAAGCCUAAGAGGACCCCCUUGUUACU